rnacentral:rRNA from 1 species
GAUGAACGCUGGCGGCGUGCCUAAUACAUGCAAGUCGAGCGAACGGACGAGAAGCUUGCUUUUCUGAUGUUAGCGGCGGACGGGUGAGUAACACGUGGAUAACCUACCUAUAAGACUGGGAUAAUUUCGGGAAACCGGAGCUAAUACCGGAUAAUAUUUUGAACCGCAUGGUUCAAAAGUGAAAGACGGUCUUGCUGUCACUUAUAGAUGGAUCCGCGCUGCAUUAGCUAGUUGGUAAGGUAACGGCUUACCAAGGCAACGAUGCAUAGCCGACCUGAGAGGGUGAUCGGCCGCACUGGAACUGAGACACGGUCCAGACUCCUACGGGAGGCAGCAGUAGGGAAUCUUCCGCAAUGGGCGAAAGCCUGACGGAGCAACGCCGCGUGAGUGAUGAAGGUCUUCGGAUCGUAAAACUCUGUUAUUAGGGAAGAACAUAUGUGUAAGUAACUGUGCACAUCUUGACGGUACCUAAUCAGAAAGCCACGGCUAACUACGUG